AGGGAAGCAAAAUGAUGAAUAUUAUUGGUUGGAGCCCUUAAAAGGCAAAUGUUUGUGUCUGUAUAUGAAUGUAUGUGCGCGCACUUGUGCUUGGAUGUAUGAUUGACUGUGAAUGGUGAUAGGGACUUAGUUAUAUGCCUUUUUAUAGAGGGCCAUGAUAUUCAAACUGAUAAGAUCUGAUUGCUUC
ensembl:snoRNA